rnacentral:rRNA from 1 species
GACGAACGCUGGCGGCGUGCUUAACACAUGCAAGUCGAACGGAAAGGCCCUGCUUUUGUGGGGUGCUCGAGUGGCGAACGGGUGAGUAACACGUGAGUAACCUGCCCUUGACUUUGGGAUAACUUCAGGAAACUGGGGCUAAUACCGGAUAGGAGCUCCUGCUGCAUGGUGGGGGUUGGAAAGUUUCGGCGGUUGGGGAUGGACUCGCGGCUUAUCAGCUUGUUGGUGGGGUAGUGGCUUACCAAGGCUUUGCCGGGUAGCCGGCCUGAGAGGGUGACCGGCCACAUUGGGACUGAGAUACGGCCCAGACUGCUACGGGAGGCAGCAGUGGGGAAUAUUGCACAAUGGGCGGAAGCCUGAUGCAGCAACGCCGCGUGCGGGAUGACGGCCUGCGGGUUGUAAACCGCUUUCGCCUGUGACGAAGCGUGAGUGACGGUAAUGGGUAAAGAAGCACCGGCUAACUACGUG